rnacentral:rRNA from 1 species
GUGGGGAAUAUUGCACAAUGGGGGAAACCCUGAUGCAGCGACGCCGCGUGAGGGAAGAAGGUUUUCGGAUUGUAAACCUCUGUCCUUGGUGACGAAAAUGACGGUAGCCAAGGAGGAAGCCACGGCUAACUACGUGCCAGCAGCCGCGGUAAUACGUAGGUGGCAAGCGUUGUCCGGAAUUACUGGGUGUAAAGGGAGCGUAGGCGGGAAGAUAAGUUGGACGUCUAAUCUAUCGGCUCAACCGAUAGUCGCGUUCAAAACUGUUUUUCUUGAGUGAAGUAGAGGUAAGCGGAAUUCCUAGUGUAGCGGUGAAAUGCGUAAAUAUUAGGAGGAACACCAGUGGCGAAGGCGGCUUACUGGGCUUUAACUGACGCUGAGGCUCGAAAGCGUGGGUAGCAAACAGGAUUAGAAACCCCAGUAGUCC